rnacentral:lncRNA from 1 species
AUUCACGAUAUUGUGCAGCCAUCGUCUCUAUCUGAUUCCAAACAUUUUCGUCACCCACAGAGGAGACCCCUUAACCAGUAAGUAGUCACUUCCCAUUCCCACCUCCCCUCAGCCACUGGCAACCUCUAGUCCGCUUUCUGUUUCUAUGGAUUCAUCUAUUCUGAAAAUUUGAUAUAAAUGGAACCCUACAUCACUUGACAUUCUGUGUCUAGGUUCUUUUGCUUCACAUAUGUUGUUUCUCUUUAAGACCAAGGAGACAAUGGGAAGGAGCCAGUCGAGGAGGCAGAAGUUGAAAACACAGGAGACAAGGAGAGGGUUCACCAAGGAUCUCUGCUCUGAACAGUCCCUCAGAGUCCCAGGCUGACAAAGGUGCCCCGUCUCGCGUGUUGCCAGGGGCUUUGCCAGAGUGAGAGAGAUUGGCCAGUCGUGUGCCGGCUCUUGAAGCUCCUGUCUGGCACCUCGGUUCCCUCCACUCUCCUCACCAAGGCAAGUGAUGGAGCCACACCCGACUUCAAGGUGCGGGGAAGGACCAUCCAUCAUGCGCCAGGAGGAGUACUAAAUGUAUUUGGUGGCCACACUAAUGACCCCCACCUAGUUCACAGAAUCAGGUAGGAUUUAUGGGUAGCAAGCACCAGUUCAGGCCAAGGCCAGAAUAGUCUCACUUUUACACAGAAAAAUCUAGGCCUGCAAAUAAACAGAUCGGUGAGCCACCCAUUGACCAGUGAGCCAAAACACAAGACCAUGAUUCAUGCUUCUAUCACUGCCAAGAAGUGGUGCCCCAUGCCCGAGACAUGGACUGCCUUGGUUCCUCUUUGCCAUGGAAACACUCACCCACUGAUUUGCAUGGUCUUCCUUCCUUAAUGUGACCUUUUCAGAUGAAAAUGCUCUUGUCUCCUGCAGGGACUCAGAGGUAGGUCUCUUUGACCAGUUUUGCACUGUGUGCUUCCUGUCACAGCAGGGUUGGACAAAGAGGCAGGAAACCAGGCUGGGAGGAGAUGCUGCCCGUAUCACAGCCCACAUACUGCUGCCUCCAGAGACCGGGCUCUCAGGAAGUCCCCAGCCAGUGCCCCUGGUAGACCAGGCCUCCCUGCGAAAGAUUAGGAGAACACGUGCAGCCCUGGGUGGUAAAACAGAGAAUGAAGGCAAACACAUACAAUGAUUGAAAUAAAACCUGGCAAGGAC